GGGUCAGUAGGUUGGUCGUGCCACCGGUACGUACUGGUCUCACUGAUUCCUCCUUCCUGAAGAACCGUAAUGCCAUUAAUUUGGUGUUGCGGGGAAACAGGACUGUUACUUUGAAAAAAUUAGAGUGUUUAAAGCAAGCUAACGCUUGAAUACACUAGCAUGGAGUAAUGAAAUAGGACGAUCGAUCCUAUUUUGUUGGUUUCUAGGAUUGACGUA
rnacentral:rRNA from 1 species